CUCCCAAUGUUUUUGAUUGUUGCUCAGAAAGCCGUGCCAUUUCACAUUUUUGGCUGACGUCAAAAAAUCACAACUGGCUUUCGAG
rnacentral:pre_miRNA from 1 species